GACGAACGCUGACGGCGUGCUUAACACAUGCAAGUCGAACGGUAAGGCCCUUCGGGGUACACGAGUGGCGAACGGGUGAGUAACACGUGGGUGAUCUGCCCUGCACUUCGGGAUAAGCCUGGGAAACUGGGUCUAAUACCGGAUAGGACCACUUCCUGCCUGGGUGGUGUUGGAAAGCGUUUGCGGGGUGGGUUGGGCCCGGGGCCUAUCAGCUUGUUAGUGGGGUGAGGGCCUACCAAGGCGACGAAGGGUAGCCGGCCUGAGAGGGUGACCGGCCACACGGGGACUGAGAUACGGCCCAGACUCCUACGGGAGGCAGCAGUGGGGAAUAUUGCACAAUGGGCGCAAGCCUGAUGCAGCGACGCCGCGUGAGGGAUGACGGCCUUCGGGUUGUAAACCUCUUUCAGCACCGACGAAGCGCAAGUGACGGUAGGUGCAGAAGAAGGACCGGCCAACUACGUGCCAGCCGCCGCGGUAA
rnacentral:rRNA from 1 species